UGGCUCAGAUUGAACGCUGGCGGAAUGCUUUACACAUGCAAGUCGAACGGUAGAGGGGGCAACCCCUCGAGAGUGGCGAACGGGUGAGUAAUAUAUCGGAACGUGCCCAGUCGUGGGGGAUAACGUAGCGAAAGUUACGCUAAUACCGCAUACGAUCUGCGGAUGAAAGCGGGGGACCUUAGGGCCUCGCGCGAUUGGAGCGGCCGAUGUCAGAUUAGGUAGUUGGUGGGGUAAAGGCCCACCAAGCCAACGAUCUGUAGCUGGUCUGAGAGGACGACCAGCCACACUGGGACUGAGACACGGCCCAGACUCCUACGGGAGGCAGCAGUGGGGAAUUUUGGACAAUGGGCGCAAGCCUGAUCCAGCAAUGCCGCGUGCAGGAAGAAGGCCUUCGGGUUGUAAACUGCUUUUGUACGGAACGAAAAAGUCCGGGUUAAUACCCUGGGCCCAUGACGGUACCGUAAGAAUAAGCACCGGCUAACUACGUG
rnacentral:rRNA from 1 species